rnacentral:rRNA from 1 species
CCUACGGGGUGCAGCAGUGAGGAAUAUUGGUCAAUGGACGAGAGUCUGAACCAGCCAAGUAGCGUGAAGGAUGACUGCCCUAUGGGUUGUAAACUUCUUUUAUAUGGGAAUAAAAUGUUCCACGUGUGGGAUUUUGUAUGUACCAUAUGAAUAAGGAUCGGCUAACUCCGUGCCAGCAGCCGCGGUAAUACGGAGGAUCCGAGCGUUAUCCGGAUUUAUUGGGUUUAAAGGGAGCGUAGGUGGAUUGUUAAGUCAGUUGUGAAAGUUUGCGGCUCAGGCGUAAAAUUGCAGUUGAAACUGGCAGUCUUGAGUACAGUAGAGGUGGGCGGAAUUCGUGGUGUAGCGGUGAAAUGCUUAGAUAUCACGAAGAACUCCGAUUGCGAAGGCAGUUCACUGGACUGCAACUGACACUGAGGCUCGAAAGUGUGGGUAUCAAACAGGAUUAGAUACCCCAGUAGUC